CUGGUUUCACUAGCCCAUCUCUGAAAUGGGAAGCUUGCCUUGAAGAAAUGGAGGUAGGAAAGAAGCGUCAGCAUGGUUUUCAUCUGUUUCUGUUGACACAGACUACAGCAAAUGGCCAAGUAAGAGCAGAGGUAAUUGCCCCUACCCUUUUUUCCCAAAAGCCCACAGGCUGGUUGAUCAUUAACACAGUGAACAUGAUCAAGCAACCCAUGAUGGCUGGUUUUGCCUGGUACUUGGAGUGGACUAGCAGGAAGAUGGUUGAGGAUCCAAAGAGAAAGCUGCUCACUGUUCUUGCUGUCCUCUUGCUGCUCAACUCAGCACAAGCAGGGAAUACAGACAAACUCCCAGGGCAUCACUGUACUGACUUCCAGACAGCCAAUUUCCUUCGGGGCAGUAAACUUAAGGUCCAGUUUCUUCUGUUCACCUCCUCAAACCCCAGCUGUGGGGAGCUGAUUUUAGCUGGUGAUGGCAUCAAGAACUGCAGCUUCAACAGCAGCUUGGACACCAAGAUUAUAAUCCAUGGCUUCAGGGCUUUGGGCACUAAACCUUCCUGGAUUGAAGGGCUUGUCCGUGCCAUACUGAACACAAGCCCAGUGAACGUGAUUGCAGUAGACUGGGUUUAUGGGUCUACAGGAGCCUAUCCCUCUGCAGUGGAAAAUGUCACAGAGCUGGCCCUCUCCAUCUCACAAUUCAUCAGCAAGCUCCUGGCCCUGGGAGCCUCAGGGACAUCCAUCCACAUCAUUGGGGUAAGCCUUGGGGCGCAUGUCGGGGGCCUGGUGGGACACUUCCAUGGCGGUCAGCUGGGACGCAUAACAGGCCUGGAUCCUGCAGGCCCCAAGUACACCAAAGCCAGCCCUGAGGAACGCCUGGAUCCUGGGGAUGCCCUCUUUGUGGAAGCCAUUCAUACUGAUGCUGACAAUUACCAGAAAUUCAGGCUCACUCUGAGGAAGUUUCUUGAUUUUGGGAUCCGGAUCCCUGUAGGCCACAUCGAUUACUUCGUCAAUGGAGGCAAAGAUCAGCCAGGAUGCCCCCGAUUCCCCUCUGCAGGCUAUAAAUACCUGAUCUGUGAUCACAUGAGGGCAGUACAUCUCUAUGUCAGUGCCUUGAAAAAUUCCUGUCCGUUCCUGGCUUUCCCUUGUGCAAGUCAUCAAGAUUUUUUAAAUGGUCGUUGCCUGGACUGUGCGGACCCCUUCCUGUUCUCCUGUCCCAGAAUAGGUCUGCUGGAGCAGGCAGGUGUCAACAUGACAAAGCUUCCCAAGGAAGUAAAAGUGUAUUUAAUGACCGGUCCUUCAGCUCCAUUCUGUGUCCAUCACAGCCUGGUUGAGUUCCAUUUGCAGAAGAAAAGAAACAUAGUCACCAGCAUUGAGAUCACUUUCUGGAGCAACAGCACCAAGGACACAGUGAAGAUCACCAUACCGAAGCACCAGGAGGUGGGCAAACGGCUGCUGGCCCACAGAGUUCCCCUCUGCCACAUAAACAGCGUGACUCUCAAGUAUCUCCCCAAGAACCAGUUUUGGAGGAAGGAUGAGGCAUCCAUUGAUGGCAAGUUCUGUGCAGCCCCACUGCCUCUGGAUAGCAAAUAAACACGUAAAGAGGUCCCUCCCAUCACCUCGAUGACCCUGUGUAAAUCAUUUUCUACCUGUGAGGGAGGAAAAUUACUAAGCAGGAUAAUGUCAUGCCUGCCCUGGAACCUCACCCUCCCCAGCAACACAGACAUCUCCUAUGAGCUGCACACUGCUUGUGCCUAGCCACUGCAUUUGGAGCAUGCAUGCAUACCCUAGAAUGGAAAGGAUCCCUAACCUAUUGCUGCUGCCUGCUCACAGAUGAUGCUUUCACCAUGAAACUGGAUGGGUUAUUUACUUCCUGCAUGAGGGACAGGAUGUCAAGGAAAAGCAGCAGAUCGGAGAGUACAAGGUUGACUGGUUACAACAAGACCUCUCAGUUAAAAGGCUGGAUUUGGACUUCUAUCUCAUGGGUUCUGUACCCAGCUCUGAGGGCAACUAUCAGCCCACUCCCAGGAGCUGUGUUGAUUAGCAGAAAUGUGCUAAGUGAGUACUGAGUGAGUGAGAAGAUUUGGAUGAAAGAAGAGAUAUCAUUCUUCCUACAACAGGAGUGUUGGAAUGAUUCACUUGUGGUUUAUAUUAAAGUGUCCUGAGGUCUUCAUGUUAAA